UAGGGAAUAUUGGACAAUGGGUGAGAGCCUGAUCCAGCCAUGCCGCGUGCAGGAAGAAGGCGUUAUGCGUUGUAAACUGCUUUUUGCCAGGGGAUAAAAUGACCGUGCGCGGUUAAUUGAAGGUACCUGGUGAAUAAGCCACGGCUAACUACGUGCCAGCAGCCGCGGUAAUACGUAGGUGGCAAGCGUUGUCCGGAUUUAUUGGGUUUAAAGGGUGCGUAGGUGGCCCUGUAAGUCAGUGGUGAAAUAUCUCAGCUUAACUGAGAGGGUGCCAUUGAUACUGCAGGGCUUGAGUACAGAUGAGGUAGGCGGAAUUGACGGUGUAGCGGUGAAAUGCAUAGAUAUCGUCAAGAACACCGAUAGCGAAGGCAGCUUACCAAGCUGUAACUGACACUGAGGCACGAAAGUGUGGGGAUCAAACAGGAUUAGAUACCCGAGUAGUCCCUGAGCGGGCUGGCAAGGCGCAU
rnacentral:rRNA from 1 species